rnacentral:rRNA from 1 species
AGGACGACGCUGGCGGCGUGCCUAACACAUGCAAGUCGAACGGAGGUUAGUGCUUCGGUAUUAACCUUAGUGGCGGACGGGUGAGUAACGCGUGAGCAACCUGCCUUUCAGAGGGGGACAACAGUUGGAAACGACUGCUAAUACCGCAUAAUGUAUCGAGAUCGCAUGACCUUGAUACCAAAGAUUAUAUCGCUGAAAGAUGGGCUCGCGUACGAUUAGAUAGUUGGUGAGGUAACGGCUCACCAAGUCGACGAUCGUUAGCCGGACUGAGAGGUUGAACGGCCACAUUGGGACUGAGACACGGCCCAGACUCCUACGGGAGGCAGCAGUGGGGAAUAUUGGGCAAUGGGGGAAACCCUGACCCAGCAACGCCGCGUGAAGGAAGAAGGCCUUCGGGUUGUAAACUUCUUUUAGCAGGGACGAAGGACGUGACGGUACCUGCAGAAAAAGCAACGGCUAACUACGUG